rnacentral:rRNA from 1 species
AUUGAACGCUGGCGGCAGGCCUAACACAUGCAAGUCGAGCGGAUGAAGGGAGCUUGCUCCUGGAUUCAGCGGCGGACGGGUGAGUAAUGCCUAGGGAUCUGCCUGGUAGUGGGGGAUAACGUCCGGAAACGGGCGCUAAUACCGCAUACGUCCUGAGGGAGAAAGUGGGGGAUCUUCGGACCUCACGCCAUCAGAUGAGCCUAGGUCGGAUUAGCUAGUUGGUGGGGUAAAGGCCUACCAAGGCGACGAUCCGUAACUGGUCUGAGAGGAUGAUCAGUCACACUGGAACUGAGACACGGUCCAGACUCCUACGGGAGGCAGCAGUGGGGAAUAUUGGACAAUGGGCGAAAGCCUGAUCCAGCCAUGCCGCGUGUGUGAAGAAGGUCUUCGGAUUGUAAAGCACUUUAAGUUGGGAGGAAGGGCAGUAAGUUAAUACCUUGCUGUUUUGACGUUACCAACAGAAUAAGCACCGGCUAACUUCGUG